rnacentral:pre_miRNA from 1 species
AGUGGGAUAGCUGGGUCAAAUGAUGGUUCCAUUCCAAGUUUUCUGAGGAAUCUCCAUAUUUCUUUCUAUAAUGGUUGUACCAAUUUACAGCCCUACCAGCAAU